AUUACAUAAAGCCCCCAGGUUACAGACAGGACCCCUGGGGCCAGGAGAGGAACUGGCAGUGCGUUUGGUGCAGACGAGUGGCAGGUGCCACACGGGGCGAUCACAUGGCACGGGAUUCCUGGCUUUGCCCCUUUAGUGGGUGCCUUGUGAUCUGCGUCAUGGUGAGGAGGACUUCAGGGACAGAUGGCCAGGGAUGUUCCCAGGUGGUGGAGGAGGCUCCACUGGCAGAGAAGCAACGUCAAGCUGAAGACAUUGGGGUGCGAUGGCUGGCCAGGACAGCUUGUCUCCUCGUCCGCACACGGAACGCUGGAUUUCACUCUGUGACCCAGCCAGCGGUCUCAUCUCACAGCCGCAGCUUUCAGCAGGAAGGAGCCCACUGGUGCCUGCCUGACCUACGAGGGCCCGCACCGUUUUGCCCUCCUAACAUUUUGUAUUUGAAGUGCUUGUCACAGUCCACAAAAUAACCACUCAGAAUCUGUUACUAUUUUGUUUAUAUGUUGUAUCAAGUGAAUGUUAAUAAGUCAUCUAAGUGUAUGCUUUAGUUAUAAAUCUUGGAAAAAUAAAAACUUCCUUUUGGAGGAAAAGUGAACUUACUUUGGUAUCAAAAUCACACAACUCCAGGUUGGAUUUUUUUGUGCUUUAAUGUUCGCAGUCACACGAAAGUGGCAUCUCCAUCAGCACUGGGGCGGCCGCCUCCUCAUCAGCCGACAGCUGCACGGUCCCCGCCUCUCAUCCAUUUGGUCUGUUUGCAAGUUACUAGAUCAUACAAAAAUAACCGCUACAAAUUCUCUGUAUCUGGCAUAUAAAAACUGAGCAAAAAGUAUCUCUUAAAGCAAAACAUCUCAGAAAAAAUACAACACAGGUUUAACUUCUGCAGUACUUUGUUCAUAUAAAACACUAGUAAAAUAGGCUUCUUAAAAAUUAAAUAGUGAAAUACCAACCAAAUUAUAUACAUUGUUACAGUACAAGUGAAUGAGGCAAAAUAUCCAGUUCUUAGUUUCCCAGGUGGGUGGGGGUGGCCUUCAGUGCGUGGCACGGAGGGGGUGACAGGAAGGCCACGUUCCAAUGUCACAGUCAGCGCAGAAAGAGGCUUGCAGCGGGACAAACAGAUGGAAAGAACUGAGUCACACAGGGAAGACCAGGGGCUCCUUUGAGGAAGAGUGAGGUCAUGUUUUUAUUGCUUGCUAAUCCGAGGUUUUCCCUGGCCCGAUGCCCCUCUAGGUAGCCUGGAUCCCAAAUGCUGCAGCCCACGUAGCGCUAAUCCAUGUCACCAAGCAGCCACGGGGAAGCCACAGCUGCUCCAGAGAAGACAGAACUAGGCUUCAGAGCCCUCAAUAUCUGAGCUGGACCGAUCCUGGUCUUUCAGGUCCAUCAGGGUCCCACAUGGUCCAACUGACACACACGUUUCCCCGCUGACGGCCACGUUCACCUGAGAGCCUGAGGGCGGGCAGUGUGGGCUCAUGGCACUGGGAUGGUAUCACUGUGGCCUGGGGGGUGGCACUCAGACCCAGCCAACCCCCUCAGCGACCACAGUGCCUCGCCCGCUUCUCUGCCGCCACCAGGGCUGAGGGUCUACGUGCGGCGCCGCUUGGCAGCACUGGGACUGGAAGGGUUGCUGUUUGCGGUCAGGACUUUGUCGGUGACCCGGCUGCGCUUCCGCUUGUCUGCGCCUUCUUUGCACCCCAAGUCUGAGGAGUUCUUCUCUUUGUCUUUGCUGGAUUUUUCUGAUGCUUUCCCCAAACUCCCUGAAGAUGAAAAAACUGAGAAACGAAAAAUCACUUGGCUGAAAACAGAAUAUCCAGAAUCUUAUUUUUGUCUUCCUGUUCAGUUAAAAAAAUCUGCAUACUGACACGUGACCCUCUGAACCCAAAGCUU
rnacentral:lncRNA from 1 species